AUGCAGAUGGGGAAGUACCAACGACAACCUCAACAAAACCGUGACCCACUCUUAACUGGAAAACGCACACGAUCUUCAUGCUUUCACCGUCGAAGACCACGGCCUGGUCACUGUCGUUAUCCCUCCGACGUCCACAGUCCUGUGCCGCUCUCAUCUCUCCUUCCUCUCGCGCUCACAAUCGCUCAGAUCGUCGUUAGCUUCUUCCGGCCUUCAACCACCGAUCGCCAACCGCCGCGUCACCAUAAAAAUUCGCCGCUGCAUCUGCUAGGGAAAGGUGGAAAAGUCAAAACUGUAGAAGCAACAAUGAUAUGCUACUGUACAUCCUUUUAUUGUUUCUAG